GACGAACGCUGGCGGCGUGCUUAACACAUGCAAGUCGAACGGACCGAGUUGAUAGCUUGCUAUUGAUGAGGUUAGUGGCAAACGGGUGAGUAACGCGUAGGCAACCUGCCCUUCAGAUGGGGACAACACCUCGAAAGGGGUGCUAAUACCGCAUGAUUUAACUGUCAAAGCUUUAUGUGCUGGAAGAUGGCCUCGCGUCUGAUUAGAUAGUUGGUGAGGUAACGGCUCACCAAGUCGACGAUCAGUAGCCGGUCUGAGAGGAUGAACGGCCACAUUGGGACUGAGAUACGGCCCAGACUCCUACGGGAGGCAGCAGUGGGGAAUAUCGGGCAAUGGGGGAAACCCUGACCCAGCAACGCCGCGUGAAGGAAGAAGGCUUUCGGGUUGUAAACUUCUUUUACCAGGGACGAAGAACGUGACGGUACCUGGAGAAAAAGCAACGGCUAACUACGUG
rnacentral:rRNA from 1 species